AUUGAACGCUGGCGGCAGGCCUAACACAUGCAAGUCGAACGAGUGGCGGACGGGUGUGUAAUGUCUGGGAAACUGCCGGAUGGAGGGGGAUAACUACUGGAAAAGGUAGCUAAUACCGCAUACCAUCAGAUGUGCCCAGAUGGGAUUAGCUAGUUUGCGGGGUAACGGCUCACCAAGGCGACGCUCCCUAGCUGGUGUGAGAGGAGGACCAGCCACACUGGAACUGAGACACGGUCCAUACUCCUACGGGAGGCAGCAGUGGUGAAUAUUGCACAAUGGGCGCAAGCCUGAUGCAGCCAUGCCGCAUGUAUGAAGAAGGCCUUCGGGUUGUAAAGUACUUUCAGCGGGGAGGCGUUACCCGCAGAAGAAGCACCGGCUAACUCCGUGCCAGCAGCCGCGGUAAUAC
rnacentral:rRNA from 1 species